rnacentral:rRNA from 1 species
UGCGUAGGCGGUGAAAUAAGUCAGUGGUGAAAAGCUGCAGCUCAACUGUAGUCCUGCCAUUGAAACUGUUUUACUUGAGUAACCAUGAGGUAGGCGGAAUGUGUAGUGUAGCGGUGAAAUGCUUAGAUAUUACACAGAACACCGAUUGCGUAGGCAGCUUACUAGAGGUUCACUGACGCUGAUGCACGAAAGCGUGGGGAUCAAACAGGAUUAGAUACCCUGGUAGUCC